rnacentral:lncRNA from 1 species
CAAGUCCAACACAAUUUCUCACGUUUCUUACAAAACUUAUAUUCUUGUGAUGUAUUCUUUUGUUGAAAAAAAAUGUAUAGAUAUAGAUAGAUAUAGGAAGAUGUGGUAUGAGUGCCAAUGAGAGAACUCUUCUCCCAAGUAAUAAUUCAUAAAAGUAAACCAUUAUAGGUCAAGGUACGACCUGCAACACGGAGCCUUGGCUCACACCGAACAGCAAGUUAUAGAGGGCCCCAAAACUACUAGUACAAAACCAUUCAAACGGGAAAACCAACGAGAAACGAAAAACACAUAUGAACUACAUAAACAG